rnacentral:rRNA from 1 species
AUUGAACGCUGGCGGCAUGCUUUACACAUGCCAGUCGAACGGCAGCGCGGGCUUUGGCCUGGCGGCGAGUGGCGAACGGGUGAGUAAUACAUCGGAACGUGCCCAGUAGUGGGGGAUAGCUCGGCGAAAGCCGGAUUAAUACCGCAUACGACCUGAGGGUGAAAGCGGGGGAUCUUCGGACCUCGCGCUAUUGGAGCGGCCGAUGGCAGAUUAGCUAGUUGGUGGGGUAAAGGCCUACCAAGGCGACGAUCUGUAGCUGGUCUGAGAGGACGACCAGCCACACUGGGACUGAGACACGGCCCAGGCUCCUACGGGAGGCAGCAGUGGGGAAUUUUGGACAAUGGGCGAAAGCCUGAUCCAGCAAUGCCGCGUGUGUGAUGAAGGCCUUCGGGUUGUAAAGCACUUUUGGCGGGAACGAAAAGGACUGUGCCAAUACCACGGUUCGAUGACGGUACCCGCAGAAUAAGCACCGGCUAACUACGUG